GGACAGCAGCCUUUCUCUGAGGGGGGGACAAUAACGGGGAUCUGCUCUCCUCGCUGCACCAGCGGAGCAGUCCCCGAGCUCGGGAAGGUGCAGGAGUCAGGCGGCGCUGAGGGGUCUCUGCUUUAAAAGUGCGGGAGAGUCGUGCUGGGUGGGAGAGGGGUGGCUGGGGGCGAUCGUGCAGGGCAGCAGAGCCCCUCGGGUCCCUCCUGCUGCCCACAAUAAAAAUCUUGUUCUUGCUUCCCAAGGGACCAGGCUUAGAGCAGACUCACCACAGCUCUCACUGCUGCCGCACCGACCAUGGCUUUCUUUUCAUUCAUUGCGGGACUCGUCAUAGGAGAUGCAGUUAGAGAACUAGGACGAUGGUUUCAGAGGGAGAAUGCCCAUGGGGGAAACCAAGGGUCCGGUCCGUCAAGCAGUAGCCAAGGACACGGUGGCCAGGGAAGAUCUCCUCCUCGCCACUACCAGCCGUGACCAGAAACAGAUUUGGUUCCUUCCAAGCAGCCUGAUGCGUGUCUUCCCACUGCAGCAACUGCAAAGCCCCUGCUGACCGCCC